CCUACGGGAGGCAGCAGUGGGGGAUAUUGCACAAUGGGGGAAACCCUGAUGCAGCGACGCCGCGUGGGUGAAGAAGUCUUUCGGUAUGUAAAGCCCUAUCAGCAGGGAAGAAAGAAGACGGUACCUGACUAAGAAGCCCCGGCUAACUACGUGCCAGCAGCCGCGGUAAUACGUAGGGGGCGAGCGUUAUCCGGAUUCACUGGGUGUAAAGGGAGCGUAGACGGCCGUGCAAGCCAGGAGUGAAAGCCCGGGGCCCAACCCCGGGACUGCUCUUGGAACUGUGCGGCUGGAGUGCGGGAGGGGCAGGCGGAAUUCCUGGUGUAGCGGUGAAAUGCGUAGAUAUCAGGAGGAACACCGGCGGCGAAGGCGGCCUGCUGGACCGCGACUGACGUUGAGGCUCGAAAGCGUGGGGAGCGAACAGGAUUAGAUACCCGGGUAGUC
rnacentral:rRNA from 1 species